ACAUGUGUAUGUGUGUAUCUGUCUGGGUCUGAGUUUCAGUUUCUUGUGGCAUUUACCUGUAUUAGACCCAAAGUCUUGGACUCUUUUGUGAGAAGAGGUCUUCAGAAUCGCUCUGCCAGUCUGUAGUGCGUAGCAUCCCUUCUUUGGUUUAUUCUUCUUGCCAAUUUAAAUGACUCAUGUUUUGAAAUCGUGUCCUCCGUGCUCACUCUCAGCUGUAUAUUGAUCUGGAUGAGUCCGGUCAUUUAGUGGAUGAAUGUAUAAUUAGAAAUUGUCUUGUACAAGAAAGGGCCUCAGCCUUGCACUCUGAAUGUGACUUGUACCAGACUUCUUAUUUAAAGAAGACACAGGAAAACGGCCUUUUCUUUUCUUCUCUUUUUUCCCCUUUCUUUCUUUGUGUUUUGUUUUUGUUCUUUAAUUAGUACCUGGGAUGUAUGUAUCAUAAUUUUAACAUUGACUUUUGGCACUUCAUUAAAUGAAAAGGACACCAGAUGACGGUUUCUGCCUCUUGGCAUUUCAAAUAUUUCAUCUGGAAGUUUUGCAAAUGGAAGACAUUUCGACCUAGAAUUACAUGAUGUUUUUCCUUUGUAUGAUUUCUGUGAAGUUUGAGUUUUAUUUUCAUGAGGCUACUUUUAACAGCAAAGUUGAUCAUAAAUAUUCCUGGAAGGCAAUGCUCUUAAUGGUUUUAUUUCUGGAAUGAUGGCUAUUAAGAAUCUAUUUAGAAGAAACAAAUUGUAAUGUUUAUAGCUCACUGGAAUAUGGUGUUCUUAUUAGAUAUCUGGAUCAUUGUAAUCUAAAAAAAUCCAAGUGGAUGACAACGUCAGAUUCAGCCCCAAUCUGGUGGAUACCACAGCCCAUGGCACAUAGUGGACAUCAUACUGAAAAACAGCAUGAGCUUCUAUAAUAGUUAAUGGUGGCUCCAAUAAUGAUAUCUUAAAUUUUGAUUUUCACCUUAGAUAGAACUCAUAUGAAUUAUUAAGUGAUGGAAACAUGAAAGAGCUUUCUAACAUUAAUCAAACACUUGGCUUCCUGGUUAGCAUGGGUGCUUAUGAGCAAGAGUCCCUGAUAGGGGUGCCAAGAGGAGUGGAUAGGGAUGGAACAGGAUGAGGAGUUUCUAGCCAGACAAAUUACUGAGAAGGUUGAAUGAAUAGCCAGUCUUAGGGAUCUGAAAACCAGGGGAAUUGAUUUACAGGCCCAAACUUGCAGGCUUUUGAGAUGUUUGGAAAGGUUGACAGGACAAACGUGAUGUUCAGAGAGUAGGAGGUGGGUCAGGCUGGGGAGAAGAGUCAGCCACAGUACAGAGCUGGGGCCAACUGAAAGGAAGGCUGCUUCUGGGUUUAAAUCAUUAGUCAAGUUCAUCUAGUGAGACCUGAUUGUUAAUCCUCGAAUAGGAGAAGUGGGCCAGCAGCUUGUGGCCAGCCUAAGAAAGGAUUUUAAAGCUCCUGGAGAUUGCCACUCGCUCAUAAGUAAAACAGUCAUCCAUGUGUGAGUAUUUUUACUUACACACCAGUAGUUUUCUGAUUUCUGUGUGAUGUUGGAGAUUUAUACCUAAUUCAGUAACAUGCUGCUCUUUGCAUAUGCAUGCUAUAUGAAUAAGGGUCAUUGCAUUUCUCAGUUUAAAAACAAGUCGUAUGCAAUCCGUUACCUAUAAAAACCAUCUACUCCGAGGCUGACCACUCGAGGCGAACAAAAACAGGAAACACGUUUACCCAGACAACUGGUCGGUUAUUUUCUUCAUCCCUUUAGAGGAUGUUCACACUGCGGUGUCUAGUUAGUUGUUUGAUGUAAUGUCUGUGUAAUCUAAUUGUGGAAUUUUCCCCUUAAGGUAAACUGACUGAAGUACUACUUGGCAGUUUCAAUAACUCGUAGGACAAAUUAUGUUACGUAAGCUUGGAAAGAAUUAAAAAGUAUGUGGGACAUGAAUUUUAUCCCAGUCACUGACUGGUGGGUUAUUAAGACUGGCCAUAGCUUCUACUCAAGUUCUUUAUAACAUAGUUAGCUAAGAUGUCCAGGAGAAUACAGAAGCAGCUAUGAUAAGAAAUGUGUUAUUAUAAGAAAACUCCCCCCAUUGGCUAAUGCAAGAAAAUUUAAAAAAAAAAUCACAGAAAAUGGUAAAUGGGGAUCAAAAUGCCAACUCUUUUUCUUCUCUCUCAUCACUUGUGUGUUUUAUUGGUGCAGUCCUGCUGAAGCUCUUCUGGCUUACAUAUCAAGUCUAAGAAUGAGUUCUUUAUUUCCCCUAUAAUAUAAUACAAAACUGCUUCGUAGCUGCCCAUUUAAAUCCAUAACAGCAAACUUUAUCAUUAUUUUUAGAUCUGUGGUUACUUCAAUAUUUAAAUCAUAAAAGAGCAAUUAAAUCUUUGGAAGAGGCCAGCAUAUUCUUUUUUUUUUCAGGUACACCCAACAAGUCAACUAUUUUAGUCGAAUGCUUUAUUUACCUUUCAAAUUUAUCAGACUCCAUGGAAACAUUAUUGUUAGCUGUUCCUGUUGAGCAAUUGAGGAUAUGACUUUAAAAUAGUCUGCGCUUGGGAGCUGGCUCCUUGGUUCAGAAGGCAUAGUGCUCCUCUGACUGCAGAGACCCAAGUUAGGUUCACAGCAGCCACACAGGGCAGUUCACGACCACCUCUAACUUCAGCUCCAAAAGAUCGGAUGCCCUCUCCUGGCCUCUGUGGGCAUAUGUAUUCAUGCGCCCAAGGUUAAAAAUACAAUAUCCAUUUGAAAAUAUAACUCAGUAAGCACAUUUUAACUUCCUAAAAACAGUUUCAUUUAAGAUUCUAAAAUACAGUUUUACAACCCAAUGAAAAUCUAAGUUGGUGACGGUGACCUGGCAAGGGAAAAGGGUAGAAGACAGACUUCUCUCUUCGAGGCUGUCCUUCUCAUAUGCAAAGUCAGAUCCCUUUGUUAGUUCUCAGUUCCAACUCAGAUAACAUAGUCUCAGGUACCUUAGUACCUCUGAGGUCCCAUUUUUAUUAUCAUUACUACAACUGUUGCUGCUGCUGCUGCUAUUACUACUACUACUACUACUUCUUCUUCUUCUUCUUCUUCUUCUUCUUCUUCUUCUUCUUCUUCUUCUUCUACUACUACUACUACUACUACUACUACUACUACUGUAAUUUGGAUUCAGGACACUUUCUGGAGUCCUAAGUAUUAAAUUUGCCCGUGGUAGAGCUCGCACUCUGGUAAGGGUUAAGGAGCUUUGGGUGUUCUCCUCUGGCUGUGUCUCAGACGCAGCUAAUGGUGUAUCUAUCGUGUGUGCUGCAGUACUCAGACCAGUACCUAGUUUAUGGCUCAAGACAUGACACAGAGGAUUAAAGAAUCUAUUUAGAGCCAAAAUGUUUAAUGAGCUGAUAAUAGAUAAUACUUCCCAGUGAUGCAUAACAUAUGCUGGGCCCCUCUGAAGAUUUAGCUUUGAAGAAUUCCAAUUUUGUUUCAGUAGUUUUAAAAGACUGAAUUGAAUAAAGAUAUUCUGUCCCAAGGAACUAUAUAAUUUGAAUUCUGGAUAGGUUUCUUUAGCAAUAAGAACCUGAAAUGCCUAAGAGUCAGAGUUAGAAUUAUGAUUAUAAAAUAUUGGUCUAGCAAUUCCUUUAUCAAGGAAAUUGCAAAUCUUCAACACUUACCAAUGGAAGCUGUUACCCAUCUAGGAUACAGACUAAAGCAUCACAAAUGAGUCAUAUAGGGCCACAGGCUAAGGAGUUGGGUAGAACUCGGAUACCAUCUGCCAGCUUCAUUUAUGUUUAUCGACCUGUCAAUCUCAUACUCUGUGCUGCUAGCUCAGAUCUCCUGGUAAACAGCUUGAGUGCUGACAUGUCAUUAGGGGUGAGUAUCAUGGUUCCAUGGAAGUAAGAGUUAUGAAAGAAGUGACAUGCUAGAAGGAAUUAAAGAAAUACGUGAAAUAAUCAUAGCUGCUGAAUGGUACCCUUGGCUACUUAGUGAUGGGAGGCCUCCAAGAGGCCUUGUGCAUAUAUGUGGCUCAGUGGCUUCUGCAGGAUGUGAAAAAGGAUGAGUGUCUUUAAUGUUGUCUUGGUAACAGAAGUUUAUCUCUUCAUGCCUCCUGGUAGUCAUUGGCUUUUUCAACCAACUCCCAGGAAGCCAGAGCCACCUUAGCUCCAGUUUGUCCAGAGCCCAACCCUGAAGCCUGCCCUUCUCCAUCAGGAUGGAGUCUCCUUGGUGGAUGGUUGGAGGAGUGGUCACAUUGAGAUUUCAUAAUCAUCGCCUCUUACGGGCCCUUUAGGGCUCAGAAUCCAGUCUAAGGGGGGGGGGGAGAGAGAGAGAGAGAGAGAGAGAGAGACAGAGACAGAGACAGACAGAGACAGAGACAGACAGAGACAGAGAGACAGAGACAGAGACAGAGACAGACAGAGACAGACAGAAAGAAAUUAGGUGGAUGUGGGAUGCUAAGUCUCAUAUGAGAAAGCUCCCAGGGAGCACACUCCUUUACAAUGCAUAUGCAUAUAACACAUGCAUCUGAAUAUAUGACUUUUCCACAGUGUGGAGAGGACAUGUAUUUAAAGUUACAGUGGCCUAUUUUUUACACAUACAAUAAUUUGAGCCACCUGACAAGGCUUUUAAAAAAUAAUCUUGGAUGAAUCUUUUCCUUGACCAAGUUAUAUAGAAUAAAUAAGAAAGAACAGAGUCAAUGAGAAUGCAGACACUUGGAUAAAAUGCCCAUGUUCGAAUCCCACCUACAUCGCCUACCUAUGUGAGCUGUAUCCUCAGGUUCCCUGUUUUGAAAAAAAAAAAAGGACAAAUUACAGAUAUUACUGUACACAGUCCUUUUGAGCAUUAAAUUAGUUAACACUCGUAAAACUCUCAGAACACUGCUUCUCAUAUGGUUAGCUCUCUAAGGGUCUGGUGUUAUUGUUCUGUUUCAUAGAUAGUACUUUCUCUAAAGAAAAUCAAAGAAGUCCAUUGAGAGGGACUGUCACAGCAGAAUGAGCCUGCCAUAUAGAGCUGCCUGUACAGUGCCAGAGACCUGAGUGGUCACCUGUGUGUUAGGUGGCCUUCAGCAGGCCACCUUGGAUGGCUUAAAAUGAAGAUCUUGACCCUGGAAAUCUGAGGUCAUACCUACUUUUAAUUUUUUCUGGGUUUUCUGUUUGUAACAUGUAUGUUCUUCUUACUGCUGAGGACAAUCUCACAGUUCCUAACGCCUUAAUAUUUGGUCAAGAUGUCAAUUUUUUUUUAUUGCUCUGAGAACUUGGAAUAAGGUGGAAGAGGAAAAAAUUUCUGUCGGUGUGAAUAAAAAUAUUUCACAGUAAAAUAUUAUACAGGAAAUAACAUUUUAACUUGAAUACAUCUGUAUCAUUGUUUUUUUCUCACUUGAUACAUAGAAUAUCAUGUAGUUAUAUAUAAUGCAGUAAGAUAGAGAGAUGCAGUAUUGCACAGUUAGGAACAGGAGCUCUAUUAAGAGGCAACUACUUGUACAGAAUUCAUUUAGGUUAGAAUUAAGAGGGCCAGGUGUGGUAGUGUAUGAUUUUAAUCCCGGCA